UUACUUUCCCCAGCUAAAGUCAGUUGGGUGUACGUUACCAAAACCGUCAUCUCAUGACCUAUGUAAUUGAAAGUACUGUCAUAUCCCUAUAUAAUGCAUGAUGUAUGUCCCUUCUUUUAAAGUCUCCUGACCUAUAUAAGUGAAAGUACUGUUAUAUCCCUAAAUACUGCAAGAUGUAUCUCCCUUUUAUUAAAAUAAAACAAAAUAAUCUAAUAGCCACUCAUUGAUUAAACAAUUGUUGUUGUU